rnacentral:lncRNA from 1 species
GUCGGUCGGUGCGGGCACGGGGCGGGGACAGCUGCCCUCCCGGCCCUGUGCCAACUCCUCCUUGCAGUCUCCUGUACAGGGUCCCUUAAAAAAAGUACAAUACAACCUAGAGAAAACAAAGCCGAGAAGGGAGCCCCCUCUCUGUGAACGCAUGCUGUGUCUGCUGCCCGUGGCUGUCCGCUACUGUAAUGUACGUAGAGGGCGUGCUUUUUGGUUUUUGGUUUUGGUUUUUUGUUUUUGCUUUCCCUGAACAGCCUCAGAACUGCAGAUGUAGGUCUCGCCUAUCUUCCCCGAGCCCCUCCUUGGGAACUGGCUCUGUAAACCAGCCUCUGUAGUCGACUACCUGCUAUGAAUGAUUCAAAAUGCGGCUCCGGGCCUGGGUGAGGGGUGGGUGUGAGGCCUACGAGCUGCGUUUAAGACAUUUUGAUAGCUUCACAGCUGUAAUACUCUUGAUUUAAGAGUUUGAAAUUUUAGGGGAAGGCCCUAGCAUAUAUAUUCGUGCUCGUAUUUAUAUCCAUAAUAUGCGUGCGAUAUCUAUCUAUAUAUCUAUAUCUAUCUCGUGGUAAGAGUAGAGGAAAAUAAAAUACUUGUUACGGCUGCAAAAAUAAAUGUACAUGGUUGCUCUCAGUAGUGGUUGCUUUUGCGUUAUUGUUGUAGAGUGCUCUUAGCAGAAUGCAAGUUGCUAAUUAAUGUGACUGCAUCCCAGGGAAGAAUUAAGGUCAUUUUCUAGUUAACAUGUGGUCUAAACUUGACUUCCAAAAUGUCAAAGUAAUUUAUCGGGCAUUUAGGAAAUGCACUGGAUAACAGUUAAUUUCAGCUUAAUCGUUUUUAGCUGUAUACAUAGCUUCCCCUUACCCCAUGGGAAAUGAUUUUGUAUAGAUUAGUGUGGAGCAAAUGGAAUUUAGAUUUUUUUGUUGUUGUUGUUGCUGUUGUUUUGCCUAAGGUUGAGGUAAGUAUUUUAAGGAUCGUU